GUACACGCUGUGACUAGCAUAUCAAUAAGCGGAGGAAAAGAAACUAACAAGGAUUCCCCUAGUAACGGCGAGUGAAGCGGGAAGAGCUCAAAUUUGAAAUCUUAAAGGGUUUCCCUUUACGAAUUGUAGUUUAAAGAAGUGUUUUCUGUUGAGGUUUUGGUAAAAGUUCUUUGGAAUAGGACAUCAUAGAGGGUGAGAAUCCCGUAUUUGACCUUUACUUUCAACUUUGUGAUACACUUUCAAAGAGUCGGAUUGUUUGGGAAUGCAGUACCAAAAUGGGUGGUAAAUUUCAUCUAAAGCUAAAUAUUGGCGAGAGACCGAUAGCGAACAAGUACCGCGAGGGAAAGAUGAAACGAACUUUGAAAAGAGAGUUAAACAGUACGUGAAAUUGUCAAAAGGGAAGCGUUUGACACCAGUGUUGUUUUUCUGAAAAUCAAUUAAAGAACUGUUUAUGCUAAGCUUGUUUAGACUUUAUCAGCUAUCUGUUUAGUUUUGAGCUUUUCUUUAAUGCACUUUUCAGUUAACAAGUCAACAUCAAUUUCUUUUGCUGUAAAAGAGCUUGAGGAAGGUGGCUUGAGAUUCGUCUUAAGUGUUUAUAGCCUCUUGCCUAUGCAGUCGGAGAGAUUGAGGUCUGCAGCGUAGAUCCUUCGGGGCUAAAUGCAUUUGUGCUAAGUUAUAGCAUUUCAUAGACAACUUGUUGACUAUGAUUUGUCUUGUAGCUUACUCGCUUAUGUUAUUUUACCUACGCUUAGGAUGUUGACAGCAGUAUAGACUGU
rnacentral:rRNA from 1 species